rnacentral:rRNA from 1 species
AUGCAGCUACCCAGUCACUCACACAAGAACCGAUUCCUCAUACCAUUCUUUGGUUUGACUGUUGUGCUACUAGUCUCCUUGGCUCCUCCCACCAGUUCCUGCACGGAGCAGGAGAAGAGCUCCCUUAUCAAGUUCCUUUCUGGGCUCUGGAAAGAUGGCGGCCUCACGGUGUCAUGGCGGAGCGACACAGACUGCUGCAGCUGGGAGGGGAUUACCUGCAGCCUCAAUAGAGCGGUCACUGAUGUUUCACUGGCUUCUCAAGGUCUUGAGGGGUCCAUCUCGCCGUUCCUUGGCAACCUCACCAGCCUGUUACGUCUCAACCUAUCGCGCAACUCGCUGUCUGGUGGCUUGCCACUGGAAUUGGUGUCAUCCAGCAGCAUCAUUGUCCUUGAUGUCAGUUUCAACCGCUUGACAGGAGGCCUGCACAAACUGCCAUCUUCAACCCCUGCCCGGCCUCUGCAGGUACUGAAUAUCUCGAGUAACUUACUUACUGGGCCAUUUCCAUCCACCAUAUGGAAGACAAUGAAUAAUCUGAUAGCACUCAACGCCAGCAAUAACAGGUUUACUGGGGCGAUACCAACUUAUUUCUGCAAUGGCUCACCAUCCUUAGUUGUGCUUGAGCUCAGUUUCAACAAACUCAGUGGCAGCAUUCCCCCAGGGCUUGGUGGUUGCUCCAUGCUGACAGUGCUCAGAGGUGGCUACAACAAUCUCAGUGGAACACUCCCAGAUGAACUCUCCAAUGCGACCUCAUUGGAAUGCCUCUCUUUUCCUAACAAUUAUUUACAGGGUGUUCUUGAUAGUGCAUGCAUAUUCAGCCUCAGAAAUCUCCGAACCAUUGAUCUUGGAGGGAACUACUUUAAUGGCAGGAUUCCAGAUUCUGUAGGUCAGCUCAAGAGGUUGGAGAAGUUCCAACUGGGCCACAACAACCUGUCAUGA